GUCUGCAUAGAUAGAGAAUAAAUGCUAAUAGACACUAUGAGAUAUGUUCUGAAAAUUCGAGUCUUUAACAUACAAAACUAAAAUUUAAGCAAGCAAAAAUGAAAAUGUGCAAACUGAGUGUCUUUUUUUCUGUCUGCUCUCUAACAAUCAACGAUCCACAGGUCGACUAGUGCUGCUCAAGUAAUUGAAUUAGUGUAAUAGGAGAACUGUCUAAAACUAUCCUCUCCAAGAACAGUCGCGAAAGAUGGGUCUGGUCUGGAGGGUGACCAUCACUUCAACUUCAAAUCGGUUUCCAGAGGAAAUAUUUUCCCGCGGUGAUUAAAGAUCAUGAAAUCCAGAUUGGCAGGCAAAGCGACCACCCUGUUUUCCUCAGAUUGAGGAUGGAUUGACUUGAAAUUUCCAGGGGCAGCCAUUGCAGCCCACAAGCAUAACACUAAACUAACUAUCAAUUCGAUAACAACAUCAAUGGGUGGUCCAGAAAACUCCUCCUCAGUAAUCUUAAGCAAAGCCCUAUAUUGGAUUGUGGAAUAGGUAGCAUGAGAUAGAAUUAGAACGCCGAUGACGCCAACGAGGAAACCGGCACCCAUCUUGGUCGGAGAAUAGAUCGGCGGCCGGUGAAGAAGAUUUUUGACGGCGGAGAUCAAGUAAAAGUGAGCUAAAUCUGCUUUAGCUGGUUGUACUUUGAAGAUUUAGCAGCGUAGAUCCGUAUUUCUAUUCGGGUCGGGUACUUACCCGACAUUAUAUUUAGUCCAAAG
rnacentral:misc_RNA from 1 species